CGCUGGCGGCAUGCCUAAUACAUGCAAGUCGAGCGAAUGAUGAAGAAGCUUGCUUCUCUGAUUAGCGGCGGACGGGUGAGUAACACGUGGGCAACCUACCCUAUAGAUUGGGAUAACACAGGGAAACCUGUGCUGAUACCGAAUAAUACAUUUCUUUCAUGAGAAGAUGUUGAAAGAUGGUUUCGGCUAUCACUAUAGGAUGGGCCCGCGGCGCAUUAGCUAGUUGGUGAGGUAAUGGCUCACCAAGGCAACGAUGCGUAGCCGACCUGAGAGGGUGAUCGGCCACACUGGGACUGAGACACGGCCCAGACUCCUACGGGAGGCAGCAGUAGGGAAUCUUCCACAAUGGGCGAAAGCCUGAUGGAGCAAUGCCGCGUGAGUGAUGAAGGAUUUCGGUUCGUAAAACUCUGUUGUAAGGGAAGAACAAGUAGCGUAGUAACUGGCGUUACCUUGACGGUACCUUAUUAGAAAGCCACGGCUAACUACGUGCCAGCAGCAGC
rnacentral:rRNA from 1 species